rnacentral:lncRNA from 10 species
GUGACUGCAUCCGGACCUUGAGUUCUUUGGCUCUUGUGUGAGUGGAUGGUGACACCAGGCCAGCUGGGGAUUCUUCCCAGGCUGGGCUCACAGGCUGGGGCUGGGCACACGGAGCAGCUGCGGGAAAAGGAUCUGGACACCAGCCCCCCAGCGUGUCACCGGCAGGAAGGUGAGGUGGGAACAGAGUGACGUCCAUGCAUGUUCAGAUAGAAUCUUCAACUCGGAGGCACCAGUCUCUCUCACUUGAGGAAAGAAUGCGAAGGAAGGAAUGGCCUGACUUCCUCAUGUGUGCCCUGUUUCUCGGUAGGCACCAUGUGGGGGCUGCCACACAUGUGCCGAAGCUUUGGGAACGUUCCGUUUAAAUACCAAUUUCGAUGCCAAUGCCUAACAUGGAGCACAAAUAUCCAGGGGGAAGAGAUUCUGUUGGCCAACCUUAUCGCUGUGACCAGCUGAUCAGGUCUAGGAAGACAAGCUAUGGGCGGAGAAGCUAAAGAAGAGAGGGACGGGGCACACACAGAAGGGGAGAUGAAAAGAAAUGGUCUAUUUUGUCCCUUUC